rnacentral:rRNA from 1 species
UGGGGAAUAUUGGACAAUGGGCGAAAGCCUGAUCCAGCCAUGCCGCGUGUGUGAAGAAGGUCUUCGGAUUGUAAAGCACUUUAAGUUGGGAGGAAGGGCAGUAAGCGAAUACCUUGCUGUUUUGACGUUACCGACAGAAUAAGCACCGGCUAACUCUGUGCCAGCAGCCGCGGUAAUACAGAGGGUGCAAGCGUUAAUCGGAAUUACUGGGCGUAAAGCGCGCGUAGGUGGUUCGUUAAGUUGAAUGUGAAAGCCCCGGGCUCAACCUGGGAACUGCAUCCACAACUGGCGAGCUAGAGUAGGGCAGAGGGUGGUGGAAUUUCCUGUGUAGCGGUGAAAUGCGUAGGUAUAGGAAGGAACACCAGUGGCGAAGGCGACCACCUGGGCUCAUACUGACACUGAGGUGCGAAAGCGUGGGGAGCAAACAGG